GCCUGGGCAACAACCAAGGAGAGCUUAAGGAGGGAAGGAGAAUGAUGCGCUGACAGGUCCCACCCACAUUCGUAAUGGGAGACGUGACCUUGUGGGGUAAAGAAAACAGAGCUCAUCAGGAGUCUUGACGAGAACACAUGGUGCAUUGAUGGGACAAAGCUUUUAUAGAAUGAGUUCGUAAGAUUGGAGGAGAUGCCAGGUAUGGUAUCCUUUCACCUAGCAUUUGUGAGGCAGAGCCAGACUGAUGGAUGGAGUGAGACCCAGGACUGUCAGCCAGGGCUACAUAAUCAGACCCUGUCUCUGAUGGAUCCCACAAUCCCACAAGGUGGCAGGAGAUAAUCAACCGAGAGUUCUCUGACCACACUGCUCUGUGGGACACAUGGGUGCUUACACACACACACACACACACACACACACACACACACACACACACAC
ensembl:processed_transcript RIKEN cDNA 4930481B07 gene